rnacentral:rRNA from 1 species
GAUGAACGCUAGCGGCAGGCUUAAUACAUGCAAGUCGAGGGGCAGCAUGAGUAGCAAUACUUGAUGGCGACCGGCAAACGGGUGCGGAACACGUACACAACCUUCCUUCAAGCGAGGAAUAGCCCAAAGAAAUUUGGAUUAAUACCUCAUAGCAUCUUAGAGUGGAAUCACUUCUAUAUUAAAGAUUUAUCACUUGAAGAUGGGUGUGCGGCUGAUUAGAUAGUUGGCGGGGUAACGGCCCACCAAGUCUACGAUCAGUAGCUGAUGUGAGAGCAUGAUCAGCCACACGGGCACUGAGACACGGGCCCGACUCCUACGGGAGGCAGCAGUAAGGAAUAUUGGUCAACGGACGCAAGUCUGAACCAGCCAUGCCGCGUGAAGGAUGAAGGUCCUCUGGAUUGUAAACUUCUUUUAUAGGGGAAGAAACCUGGAUAUUCCUAUUCAGUUGACGGUACCCUAGGAAUAAGCACCGGCUAACUCCGUGCCAGCCGCCGCAGUAAAAC